GAUGAACGCUGGCGGCGUGCUUAACACAUGCAAGUCGAACGGAACUCUCUGGAAAGAGGCUUCGGCCAAUUGAAUUUGAGUUUAGUGGCGGACGGGUGAGUAACGCGUGAGUAACCUGCCUUGGAGUGGGGAAUAACAGUUGGAAACGACUGCUAAUACCGCAUAAUGCAUCGGGGUCGCAUGGCUCUGAUGCCAAAGAUUUAUCGCUCUUAGAUGGACUCGCGUCUGAUUAGCUAGUUGGUAAGGUAACGGCUUACCAAGGCAACGAUCAGUAGCCGACCUGAGAGGGUGACCGGCCACAUUGGGACUGAGACACGGCCCAA
rnacentral:rRNA from 1 species